AGUAGGGGAGGGAAGAAGUCUAAUUAAUAGUCUCUAUGAAUGGAGAGUGAAGCUCAAGGGAGUGGAGGGAAAUAGCUGGUGAGAUGUUUUUAUGGGAUCCUUAAGAAGUUUAGAAACCAAAUACAGAGUUUGGUGCCUGCGGUGAUUUCCAAAAUAACUUCUAGUCUAUAUCACAUAUUGUAGCCAAAACAGUCUGUUGAAGGUCUCAGUUUUAAAAUUCCCCUCCCCACUCCCCUUUCACAGAAGACAAGUGGGGGCAUAAAACCUCAUUCUGAUGUGUUAACCUGGUCUUGCAUUAAAAAAAAAAAAAAAAAGUCAGAGGUUCAUGGAGAGCAUAUUUAAUGGGAAAAAACAACCCACACAUGGUGCACUAAUGUCCUGGAUCUAGCAAAGCGCUUAAAACACAUGCCUCAACUUAAAAGUAAUCAGGCAAAUACUACAGUUGACUUCAGAAUUUAAAGUGCUUUGCUGAAUUGAGGCUUAAGCCCCGUACUUUGUUCUUUAUAGCCCUUUGAAUUUCUCUAUAUUAAAUAUUUUUGAAAGUAUGUUGUGUCCCCAACCUCGUCCACCCCCCCCCCCAAGAUUCUAACAAAUGCUUAUUAAAUACCUUGCAUAUAUUUUUAUUGAAGUCUACUUUCUAGGACAAGUUAUUACAAAGAGGAAACUCAUGAAUUAAGAGGUUAGGCUCCAGUCCUUGCCUGAGAACUACAUCGAUGCAGGGGCCACUGCUCUCAGAGCAAGACGCUAUUAACAGGAAGGAAAUCUGGAAGACUACCAUUUGCUGGUUUGGAAUUGGUAAAAGAUGGCAAGACUUCUGCGUACAAAAUAAGAUCUGUCAUGGUCACUCCUACAUCCAUUCUCCCUGCAGAUCUCGUCAAAGGAAACUCAGCCUGCCCACUGCAGACCUCAACCUUCCCCAGUUCCUUUUCUCCUACUUUUUGCCAAAGAGCUGCUGACACCCUGCUAGAAUAACCACCUAGCUGUUCUCCAUAAUGGGAUCUGGAAUGUACCGAAGUCUUAUGAAAAACCAUAAUGGAACCUAGCAACAGUUGUCCAGAAUGCUAGAGCCUGGGCCUGACUGAAGAACAGCACAGAUACGCAGACAGAAAAAACAGACUACAGCGGGAAAAAUAUCUGAUUCUUUUACAAAGAAGCCACGAAUCACCAGCAAAUAUGAGGCACUUUUUAAAGGAGAGAAGAAAUAAAUCUGAAAAUUACAUUACGCAUGUGAUGUUUUACAAAACACUUAAAACUAAUGAGAUGCAUUCAAUUGAAAUGUCAAAAACAGAACUUCCCAGACUGUUCCUGCAACUUUCUAAUGCCUUAGAUGUAAAGAUGAAUGACCCAUUAGCUUAAAAAAAAAGUCAAUCCUAUCAUGUCUAUCUGUAUCGGGUGGUCAUCACCACCGUGGCUAUAGAGACUGGAAGUGGUGCAGUUUUUCUAUAACAUGUAAUGUUUAAAUAUUAUUGGGCAUCCAAUCAGCAAAAAUAAUAAAAUCCCAGAAAGGCUGUAACUUAUAGAAUCGUAGUUUAAUUUUGACCAAAAUGGGCAGAUAGUACUUUCAAUCAUAUUUAGAAACUAUUUUGACUACAUAGUGCAUUGUUUUGGAAUGUUGGUGUUUUAUUUAGCCCAGGGUGGUGUAUUUUAUGCAUUUUCCUGUACUACUUUGCCUUUUCUUAAAACCAAAGUCUACAAUGACAUGACAGUAUGACCUCCUUUGUACCAUACAAUGCAUCAAAAUAUUUAUCAUUUGCAGAAUGGACUCAUUUCAGAGAAGUUUUGUCUAUUUUAUGAAGUUGUGCAGACAAAAGCUCAGAUAGCUAUGUUGUAUAAUUAAGGAGUAGAGCUCAUUUGCUCAGAUGGAGCCAUAAGUCUAAAGCAUACAUGGUACACCUGUAAUUUCACAGGGCAAUACAUGUACAUUACUAAUGUAAAAGUGAUGACUCUAAGUAGCAGGGCUGUACAAAGUUUUUUAUGAAUAUACUGUGUGAGUAACAAAG